CGUAGGUGGCAAGCGUUGUCCGGAUUUAUUGGGUUUAAAGGGUGCGUAGGCGGCCCCGUAAGUCAGUGGUGAAAUAUCUCAGCUUAACUGAGAGGGUGCCAUUGAUACUGCGGGGCUUGAGUACAGAUGAGGUAGGCGGAAUUGACGGUGUAGCGGUGAAAUGCAUAGAUAUCGUCAAGAACUCCGAUAGCGAAGGCAGCUUACUAAGCUGUAACUGACGCUGAGGCACGAAAGUGUGGGGAUCAAACAGGAUUAGAUACCCUGGUAGUCCACACUGUAAACGUUGAUGACUCGAUGUUGGCGAUACACAGCCAGCGUCCAAGAGCAAUCGUUAAGUCAUCCACCUGGGGAUACGCCGGCAACGGUG
rnacentral:rRNA from 1 species